CCCAGACUCCUACGGGAGGCAGCAGUGGGGAAUAUUAGACAAUGGGGGAAACCCUGAUCCAGCGACGCCGCGUGAGUGAAGAAGUAUUUCGGUACGUAAAGCUCUAUCAGCAGGAAAGAAAAUGACGGUACCUGACUAAGAAGCCCCGGCUAACUACGUGCCAGCAGCCGCGGUAAUACGUAGGGGGCAAGCGUUAUCCGGAUUUACUGGGUGUAAAGGGAGCGUAGACGGCAGCGCAAGUCUGGAGUGAAAUGCCGGGGCCCAACCCCGGAACUGCUCUGGAAACUGUGAAGCUGGAGUGCAGGAGAGGUAAGCGGAAUUCCUGGUGUAGCGGUGAAAUGCGUAGAUAUCAGGAGGAACACCGGCGGCGAAGGCGGCUUACUGGACUGUAACUGACACUGAGGCACGAAAGCGUGGGGAGCAAACAGGAUUAGAUACCCGUGUAC
rnacentral:rRNA from 1 species